rnacentral:rRNA from 1 species
AUUGAACGCUGGCGGCAGGCCUAACACAUGCAAGUCGAGCGGCAGCGGAAAGUAGCUUGCUACUUUGCCGGCGAGCGGCGGACGGGUGAGUAAUGUCUGGGAAACUGCCUGAUGGAGGGGGAUAACUACUGGAAACGGUAGCUAAUACCGCAUAACGUCGCAAGACCAAAGAGGGGGACCUUCGGGCCUCUUGCCAUCAGGUGUGCCCAGAUGGGAUUAGCUAGUAGGUGGGGUAACGGCUCACCUAGGCGACGAUCCCUAGCUGGUCUGAGAGGAUGACCAGCCACACUGGAACUGAGACACGGUCCAGACUCCUACGGGAGGCAGCAGUGGGGAAUAUUGCACAAUGGGCGCAAGCCUGAUGCAGCCAUGCCGCGUGUAUGAAGAAGGCCUUCGGGUUGUAAAGUACUUUCAGCGGGGAGGAGGGUGUUGAGGUUAAUAACCUCAGCAAUUGACGUUACCCGCAGAAGAAGCACCGGCUAACUCCGUGCCAGCCGCCGCGGUAAUAC